rnacentral:rRNA from 1 species
GAUGAACGCUGGCGGCGUGCCUAAUACAUGCAAGUCGAGCGAACGGACGAGAAGCUUGCUUCUCUGAUGUUAGCGGCGGACGGGUGAGUAACACGUGGAUAACCUACCUAUAAGACUGGGAUAACUUCGGGAAACCGGAGCUAAUACCGGAUGAUAUUUUGAACCGCAUGGUUCAAAAGUGAAAGACGGUCUUGCUGUCACUUAUAGAUGGAUCCGCGCUGCAUUAGCUAGUUGGUAAGGUAACGGCUUACCAAGGCAACGAUGCAUAGCCGACCUGAGAGGGUGAUCGGCCACACUGGAACUGAGACACGGUCCAGACUCCUACGGGAGGCAGCAGUAGGGAAUCUUCCGCAAUGGGCGAAAACAUGACGGAGCAACGCCGAGUGAGUGAUGAAGGUCUUCCGAUCGUAAAAAUCUGUUAUUAGGGAAGAACAUAUGUGUAAGUAACUGUGCACAUAUUGACGGUACCUAAUCAGAAAGCAACGGCUAACUACGUG